UGUACCUUUGGUGUGUUGACUCUUUCUUCUUCCAUAAAUGCCGUCUCUGUUUGGCGGUUGGACGGAGGGAAUGAAAAGACCUCUGCUCCUGAGGUGGAGGGAAGUCCUGGGGACCGUAGCAGCCUGGUGUUUUCUGAGCACAAGUUCACUGAUGGCACCACAGCUUGUGCCUAAAAGAAAUGAAAGAACUCCAAAAACUGAACAGUUUUAGAUAGAAAACAGUGUACAAAGUCACAAAUUAAAAACAAACAAUUCCCAUCCCACCUCCAAAGCGGAACUCUAGAAUUCGUUCCCUCAUUCUUGAUGUAUCACAUUCUUAAACUUGGGGGGAAAAAGUGUCAUUACACUAACUACUUAUCGAAGCUGAGCACUUACUAGCAACGAGGAAAGUGGGACUCUUUGGUGCUCUCCUACAUAUGACAUGCUAUAAUUCCUUUCUAUACAUAUAACACCCUAAAUAUUACCAAGAGGAUCAGGGCUGGUUUCAAUGACUUCUCUAACAUGCACUGAUUCCUGCUGAAAAACAAUAAGAAAGAAUAGAACAGAACUGUUGAAAGGAGAUGUGUGCAUCAGUGAAGGCAAGCAUGGCAAAAUUAGGAAAAUAGGAUAAACAACCAGUGAAAGCCACUGUUUUCCUGACAUGCAGGACACACAGAACUUGUCUAUCCAAAAUAAAACAAGCAGUCUUAUACUGGAGCCUGUGGUGCCACCAUGUGUAAAAACAAGCUACGUUGUUGCUCACGAUAUCACAGAUCACAGAAUCACAGAAUCACAGAAUCACCCGGGUUGGAAGGGACCCCAAGGAUCAUGUAGUUCCAACCCCCCUGCCUAGCAGGGCCACCAAACACAAUUGCUUGCAGUCCUGAGAAAAAGCAGGAAUAGUGGCUAUAGAAUAUAGAAAACUUGAACAUGGUACAAUAAUGAACUACCUCCUGUUAUGUUCUCUCUUCCUCCUUGCUCAUCUCUCUUCACCUACUUUUAAUACAUCUUAUAAUUAAUAAUCUGCCUUUGAAUACCAUGUCUUUCUGUCUUUAGAUCUACCAUCUAAGAACAUAGCUGGUAUUAACCUUUGUCAGUCAGAUUUUGCAUGGACUUGGGUUUUCAUAGUUGAGGUGGUUUGGCUUUAAUUUCAGCAGAACCUAAAAACAAUGUUUUGCUGUCUUAAGCAAAACAGGAGCAGACUAGUUGCAAUUUCUCCAGGAAGUGGGGCCCAGGUACUUGCUCCAUACAGCAGCAGUACAGUACCUAUGAGGCCAUAAAUUUGAGAGUGUAUUUUCUUGAAAUAACAAUAAUCUGAGUAAUCUUAGGCCAAGUCUUUCACGUUUCCAGUUUUGCAUUAAUAGAAAUUAAAAGCUCUACUUUUGUGUCUAGCCUAAUGAAACAAAAGAACAUGUUAAAAAAAUACCUGAGUAUUAUUGGAAUACGACAUGAUAAACUCUGCACGACCUUUCUUUCUGAAGAAAAUCACAAGGGAAGAAGUAGACUGAAUAGCUGCAGAGCCUGUGCUGCAACAGUCAGUAUAGUUAGAAGGGAUGCUAAUUGGACAGCCAUUUGCAAUGGAUGGGCUGACACCAGAUGUAGGGAGCACACAACCACUGCUAAUAAAAUACACACAGCAUUCUUAAGACUUAAAUCAAUUAGUCGUCUCAAUAGCUCUGUGCUUGUCGAUGCUCAGAGGUUUUGCAGCCAUGCUGAGAAAUCCCUUUGCUGCACAACAGGAAGAAAAAACGGCACAAACUUCAGCAGAAGUGACCUUAUUUAGGAACAUACCUGAGUUUUGAGCAACAAAGAGUCUCAUGACAGUAAUUCUCAUAUUUGCCAUGUAAUAACACAAUGAAUUAGUUUCUUAACCUGACAAAUCAAUGCUAUUUUCUCUUGGGUACCUCUAUAAUUCAAGGAAACAGAAAGCAUAUCUAGAGAACAGCAGGUGAGAAAAUAAUUUUAUUUUCAACAGGUCUUUUUGGACUGCCUCUGUUUAAAAGCACUCUGUAGAGCGUUCAUGCUUUAGCCCCCAUGCCAGCAGAGCCCUCCAUAAAUUAUUUGUGGAUCACUUUAAAGAUACUCCAAGCAUUGCACAGAUUGUAUUUCUCUAAUACUCCAACCAUUGAUUUCCAAGCAAAAAUUUAGAAAUUCUCAAAAAUGGAAGCUUUCCACUUUGAAGCACAAGCUUUCUCUUUAACCAUAUUGCCAAAAAAGCGCUGCCCAAAAGGACAAAAGGGAUGUUAAGAGCAAAACAAAGAGAAGAGAGGGAAUAAAGGGAACCUAAGGUUAAAGCACUCGAAUACCUGUUUAAAGCUUAAACUAUUGUUUGCAUUUUGGGACUCAGAAUGAAGUCAGUCAACUUUCACAUCUGCCUAGAAAGAGACCUCACCUUGGCUACUGUCUGCUCAGCAAUGGUGCUUGGGCGGCGCUGGCGAGCAUCAAAUCUCUGCUCUACAGGGAAGCUGCUUCGAUGCGAUUUGAGUCUUUCCACUAACAAGUAAUAGAUAGCAGCAAAGUGGUUAUAACUCUUGUUCUGCAGUGACUGAAAAAGAAAAGUGUAAGAGUUUAUGUGCAGUCAAAUACAGGUGAUUUUUUACAUUCUGUGAGACCAAGAAGCAAGAAUUGUCAUCUCAGGAAAAAAAAAAAAAAAAAAAAAAAAAAGAAAGAUACUGAAGAGGGGUUUACAGCAUGCAAACAUUGUUCUGGAGUUGAGAAAGUUUCAAAUUGGAGUGCUAAGCAAAGUGUAAGAAUCAAAUGUUGUUUCUGCGUUAGAAUUGGAUAAUAUUUUUUAUUUCAUGGCCUCCACUGUCACAGUUCUUUUUGGGAGUCUUUCUACUUUACUCUGAUAGUUUGCAUCACUUAUCCUCUAGACAAACCUUCCCUAGGAAUGCAUACUCAGUAUACAGUGUAUAUAUGUGUAUUUUGUCAUAUCCAUUGUGAGAAUAUCCUAAAUGAGGAUCAAACCAGAGAACAAGUCAUGCCCUGCCCAAAGAAGCAUCUGAAGAGACAUCGGAGGGCCUGGCAUCAGCCCCGCCUCCCCGUGCUUUUUGUUUAACAGAAGACUUUGAAGAAAAUCACCGUAUCAAUACGACAAGAAGAGCACUGAGACAUCUUGGAGACAACAGGAUGGCUGCUGACUGACACCAGAUAGCGCACCAAUUAACAAAUGUAAACUUUGAUAAGAUUAUGAACCUGGAGCACCCAGCCGUUGGGGAAACAGGGGAGAGGGAUAGGCAAAGGAGGAAACAAGGUACAAAAAGCUGUCAUUGUGUCCUUAGAGGUGCUCCUGCUUCCGGGACACCUGCCAUUGCAAUUGCAAAUAAAAUCUGCUUUUAUCAGAGACACCGUCCUGACAAAAAUUAUUUGGAUAUUUUCAACAAAAGCAUCAGCUUUAGUAUAGGGGCCUUUGUAAAUCACGAGGCUCACGGUAUUCCAGUGUGCAGCAGUACCUAUAGCUAAUGUUAAGGAGCAGUCCCAAGCCUUCAGAAAUUUGAGAACAGAGGAGUGACCUCCUGAAUGUACUGGCCAUCCCAAAUCACUAGAAACAAAAGGAGCCAGACCUCUAUAACGCAGAGAAGCCUCCUCUGGCAGGAAGUACUCAAGUGCAGCCUCUACAAUGGUUAAAAGCGUCAACCACUGUAUAAAGAAAUGACUGUGUUAACUCCACAAGGAGUCUGUUAGUAUUUACAUUUAGUAAGAAGCACAGGUUGGGAUUGGAGGGAAACAUGUAACUGCUUAGUACUUCUGUGAUCUCCCUCUCCCUUCCAUGGACAACUGCUCAAGACUGGUUUACCUCUAUAGUCUUCUGUUGGUCUAUUCCAAGGCUGUGCAUUAGCCGGAGAACCUGUUCGUUAUACUCUCCAAUGGAAGGCUGGUUCUCCUGUUCUGGGGCAUAAAGAACAGUUCUCUGGGCAGGAACUUCUAUCAGCAUCCACUUGUGUUCCUUAAUCUGAGCAAUCGUUAACCGUUUGGAUGGGUCUAGGACCAGCAUUCUUCUAAUCAGAUGCUCACAAUCUGUUGGGGAGUAAAACACAUUACCAGCCUGCUUACUGUUUGCAUAUUUUCACCUGACACCUCCCGAAAGAGCGUGACAAAAGGAAGCUGCCUCUCUUCUACUUGACUCCGGCACUAAAAACAUUUCCUGAGGGCUACAACAAUCUUUGAAAACAAGAUUAAAAGUCACACAAGAGGGAAGAAAAAAAGACCCAGCUUCUUUAAAGCACAGUGCCAUUACAUCUACAUAGCUCCUACACAAGGGGCGAGGUAACAUUUAAUAACUCUUUGAAGCUGCUUGUGCUUCCUGAGUGCCAACAUUAACUGAUAAAGCUUCAAAAACCUCUGGGAAAUGUGUGUGGGGAAACAAGCAUCUUCCUCCAGCAUUCUGAAAUAGCAUGUCCAGGCUCAUGGAACAAGCGGUUGGCAAAAGCAAAUUCUCCCCACUCCCUGCAACACCAUGUGAUCAGCAAAGGAAGCUGCAAAGCUGGAAAUGAAACAGCCCAUCUGCACCUCAAUCACAGCAACAGCUGACGUGUGGAAUCAAACUCUGUAACUCAAGCUUUGGCGAAGAUGUCAGUGCCUACGUUAUGAAGUGUGUAAUAGUAUCACCGCAAACCUAAUACCAGAGCAGUGGCUGCCAAGUUGUAUUGUGUCUGGUUGCUUCAGAAAGUGAAUGUCUUGGACGUCUGCAAUUCAUCUAGUCAGUGAAAAAGCUCUGUAGCAGAAAUGCUAAGUCACGGCCUGAAACAGUGAUUGAAGACCUGGUGGGAAGGCAGGGCCAGCCCCGAGCAGCUCAGGUACAUGCAAUGCACUGAGUGAUGGAAGGACUGGAACCAGGAUUAACCCCUUCCCUGACCUCAUUUAAGAGUUGGCAGCAGAGGCAAAAGUAUCUUGCUGGAGAUCCUUGCCUACCUGAGGCCUUUCAAGAUGGUUUCUUGUUCCUCCUGCUCAUCUGUCUGCUCAGCAGCUGGUACAGAGUGACCUCUGAAUUCAAGAGAUAUGGAAACCACUCUUUCUCAUUUACAAACCAACAAACCUGCAGCUACCUUGCAUUCCUGCCUUAUGCCAGUGUGCAAUGAAAUGACGUGCAAUGAAAUCCUGCUGCUCUGCUUAGUAUUUAAAGUACAUGGCAACCUAACUGAGGACUGACACAGCACCACACUCAGCAACUUGAGGUAUUGACAGCAGCUUCUCUUCUCCCCUGACUCACAUCACUCCAUGCAGAAAUCUUACCCAAGAUCCAGAACUGAACUCCUGCAUGCCCGUCCCUUUUCAGUGCUUCUUUCCCUUACUGCACACACCAAAGAAAGACAGUAACUUUCUCCUAUUUACUCUCCUUACACAUAGGAAACACAUGCAGUGCAAGGAAGCUAAUUAAAGCAGAUCUCUGCAGAACUUAAAAGCAAAGAGGUUUUGUCUAGCAGAGAAGAGGAAAAAAAAAUAAUUUGGAAAAAAAAAAAAUCAAUAAAACAGUAGACUGCAAAGUAAUAAAGGGCUUUUGGACAAUUUGAAGGAAAUAAAACAGGCUGUCCUCUAGGGCUCACACUGUACCUUUAUCUACCCAUCAUUUGAUUCACACCGAUAUUUAUACUUCCUUCUCCUAUACUUCCCACCCUCCAAGUAAGCAUAAUGGGGAAUCCUGCAGAUGGAUGGUUCUUUGUUGCUACUUUUUUCAACAAAGCUUGGCUUACAUCACCUCAUCCUAUUGAGAAAAGCCUGUAUCCGUAGGUACACAGGGUCUUGGUGUAUUUUCAAGUGUAGUCUGGCACUGCCACAGUAUGAUCUUAAAUUUUAAGUACUGUUUUUACUGAUAGUAAAAUACACAGGCUGUUGCUACUCCAAAGCGCACCUACAAAUGGCAGGUAAUAGAUAUCCCAAGAACGGCCCUGAACUUGGCAGCUCCCAGCUUCCAACAUCUCUACAGGGUGCCAGCCAACUUUUAACUGUUGUCCUAGAUACAGAAGGAUCUAUUUCCCCAGAAAAACCCAGAUAAAUGUAUCCUUUAAUUUUAAAAACCAAAUACUCAUAUUUGACAGCUAUUGCUAUCCAGAAGUGAAAAACAGAAAUGCUGUCACUGGCUGAUCUGCUCAAAACACCUUCAUACAUCAGUGGGAAGCAACUCAGGCUGAUCAUGUGCGAAGAUACGACGGUCAUACGGCCAGGCCCGUUGCCAUCCCUAUUACUCAAGAUUUUUCGCUAAUAUAUUACUGUAUAAGAAACAAAUUCUCAACAUCUAUGUCUGAUACGAAAGAUCACUAGUCUAUGCACAGAGGUGUAGGUGUGCCAUGUAAACACCUCUGAUCCAUCUCUCAAACACGUGAAGUAAUUCUAAGCACAUUUCUCCACUAACCAAGAUCACCUUCUGGGAUGCAAGAAGUCAGGCAAAAUAAUGAAUAAGCUGUAUCUCCAGCUUAAAUAGGUUCUAAUUAAAAACCCUAACACAUUUUGUCUCAUAACGUGAAGUUAUUUGGCCUUAUUAAGUAGUUGCUUUUUUUGAGACUAAGUAAAAAGCAUGUGACUGCCUGAACUAAAAAGAAAAAAACAAAAACUAUUAACCAUCCUGUACAACUCUGAGUACUAAGGUUGUCUCUGCGCAUACAGUCGCAGGCUUCCACGUGAAGAGCAGCACAGCAGCAGCUGGCACCAGUGCUCUGCAGUCAAAUGCAGAUUAGAUAGCUUGGUCUAUUCUGAACCCUCAAUACCCAUGCAUCUCACAAAGUCCCUGGGUGGCUCAGAGGAGAACCUCUUGGAAAUCCAUGAAAUCCAGCAACUCCUUCACUACAUCAUGAGGAGGAGCUAGCAUUCAGCAGCAACAGCAGCAACACUUUUGUCCUCAGCUAUGUCAUGAUGACAGGAAAAGGGGAAAUAAUUAUUAGAGGUGAGGAGCUGUUUCAGGACGAGGAAGUUUCCUAUCUGAAAAGUAUGUUUUGUUUCUGGCUGCGCAGCUUGCCAGCAACCACCUGCAACUUAGUGAGGACUGCAGCACCACUGAGCUUCUAAGAACAAUGCAAGGAGACCACCUCCACCUGUUGGCCAUCACUCCUCCUAAAAAGGGUAUGAAAACCCCAACCAACUGAAGAAAGAAUACAUACUUCAAGACAUCAAGGUGACCAACAAAAAGAAGAAAACAC